ensembl:lncRNA
AUGGAUAGAAAUCUGAGAGGAAGAGUUCGUGUGAGAGGAGGUCGAGGUGGUCGAGGUGGUCAGCGAAGACAAAGAACAGUAAUAUCUGAUGAAAUCAGAGCUACUGUGAUUGACCAUGUUCUUGUCCAUGGUAUGAGCAUGAGGGAGGCUGGACAAAGGGUACAACCAAACAUCAGUAGAUUCACUGUAUCCACCAUAAUCCGAAGAUUUAGAGAAGAGAACAGAAUUGAAAGACUGCCACAUGGGGGUGGGAGGACAAGUAUGUUCUCCCCAAACCAAGAGACCCUAAUUGUUGAUAUGGUCCAUGAGAACAAUGCCAUUAAACUGAGUGAAAUUCAGCAGAAGAUCAUUGAGGACCAAGUAAAUUUUGAGGCUAUCAACAGUGUCAGCCUCUCUACUGUUGAUCGUGUCCUCAAGCGCAACAGACUGCACAUGAAACAGCUAUACAGAGUGCCCUUUGAUCGCAACUCAGACAGAGUCAAAGAGCAAAGAUUCCAGUAUGUACAGAGGGUUUUUCAACUGGAUGCAAUUGAAAGACCCCAUGAAUACAUCUACAUGGAUGAAGCUGGGUUUAAUCUCACCAAAAGGAGAAGGGGAGGCCAUAAUGUGACUGGCCAUCGGGCCAUUGUUGGUGUUCCUGGGCAGCGUGGUGGCAAUGUCACAUUAUGUGCUGCCAUCAGCAAUCAUGGGGAUGUCCACCAUCAUGCCAACCUGGGGCCCUACAACACUCACCAGCUCCUCAUUUUCCUCAAUCACAUGCAAGAUGCUCUGUUAGGGCAGCAGGAUGAGCAUCCCAUCUAUGUUGUUGUUUGGGAACAUGUGAGUUUUCACAGAGCCCUCCAGGUUAGAGAGUGGUUCAGUAUGAACCAAGGUUUUAUCAAUCUUUGCCUUCCACCGUACUCCCCUUUUCUAAACCCCACUGAGGAAUUCUUCUCCUCAUGGCGGUGGAAGGUAUAUGGACGCCAACCUUACACCAGGGUAAAUCUCCUGCAAGCCAUGGGACUUGCCUGUGGUGACAUAGGUGUGGAGGCAUGCCAAGCCUGGAUACGGCAUGCCAGGGUUUUUUUCCCCCCGUUGCCUGGCCAGACAAAAUGUGGCCUGUGAUGUGGAUGAAGUCCUGUGGCCUGACCCAGUACGGAGACAUGACGCUGCGGCUGAAUAAUGUACUUAUUUGUAUAUUUUUGUACUUUAUUUUUACAUGGGCUUACUGUACACAAGUGGCAAACGCAUAAGAUUUCUGUUUUCUUUUUGUACAAGUGCUAAUGCAGGUUUUUUUUUGUUUUGCAACAUGCAUUUAGCCUACAGUGAACAACAAACAUUUAUUUCUCUAGCUUCAUGUCCUGAGCAUUGUGUUUUCUAUUUUUCUACGUAGUGUUUAGUGACU